rnacentral:tRNA from 1 species
UGUUCUGUGGCUUAGUUGGUUAAAGCCCCGGCCUAUGCGAAUACGGAGUCGUGGGUUCGAAUCCCACCAGAACGC